rnacentral:rRNA from 1 species
AUGGAACUGGAUCGAGCUUCGAAGAGGGUUCUUCUUCACGGACCUAGCGAAGGUGGUCUCUAUCCAGUUCGUCCCAUGCAACCAAGUAGGAAUAAAACGGCGUUCUCUGCCGUCACCAAGCCCAGUUAUGAUCGGUGGCACUGUCGACUCGGUCACCCCUCCUCACGGAUAGUAGAUCCUGUCUUAGGUCAUUUUAAUCUUCAGUUCAAUCGUGAGUCAAAUAAAGCACAUGUAUGUGAUGCAUGUCAGCAAGGGAAGAGUCACCAACUUCCUUAUGCCAGUUCUUCUAGGGUCACUUCAUUUCCUCUUGAGCUUAUUUUCUCUGACGUUUGGGGGCCUGCGUGCACCUCGUCAGGAGGUUUUAGCUACUAUGUGAGCUUCAUAGAUGAUUUUAGCAAAUUCACUUGGUUGUUCUGUCUUAAGCAUAAAUCCGAUGUUUUCAAUAUC